rnacentral:rRNA from 1 species
GAUGAACGCUGGCGGCGUGCCUAAUACAUGCAAGUCGAGCGAACGGACGAGAAGCUUGCUUCUCUGAUGUUAGCGGCGGACGUGCGAGUAACACGUGGAUCACCUACCUAUAAGACUGGGAUAACUUCGGGAAACCGGAGCUAAUACCGGAUAAUAUUUUGAACCGCAUGGUUCAAAAGUGAAAGACGGUCUUGCUGUCACCUGUGGAUGGAUCCGCGCUGCAUUAGCUAGUUGGUGGGGUAGCGGCUUACCAAGGCAACGAUGCGUAGCCGGCCUGAGAGGGUGACCGGCCACAUUGGGACUGAGAUACGGCCCAGACUCCUACGGGAGGCAGCAGUGGGGAAUAUUGCACAAUGGGCGGAAGCCUGAUGCAGCAACGCCGGGUGCGGGAUGACGGCCUUCGGGUUGUAAACCGAUUUCGCCUGUGACGAAGCGGGAGUGACGGUAAUGGGUAAAGAAGCACCGGCUAACUACGUG